rfam:Caedibacter sp. 38-128 SCNpilot_expt_500_p_scaffold_7536, whole genome shotgun sequence.
UGGCAUCAUUCCAUGAAGGCGACCCGCUGAACUUAAGCAUAUUAAUAAGCGGAGGAAAAGAAACCAAAAGGGAUUCUCCGAGUAGCAGCGAGUGAAACGAGAAGAGCUCAUCCUGAGGGUGUACUAGCUACACCGAUGCGGGGAAGCUAGGUCAUGAAACCUGCAUAACAUCAGUAAAUCGGAAGUGGAAUUUGUCUUCUCAUUGAGAACCAAAGGCAGUGAAAGUCUGCGACUGUUGUAUUGUAAGGGGUAUGGCCGAAGCAAAGAGUACUGCUGUUUGGUAAUACAGCAGGAAUACGGGAGGUAAAUUCCUUCUAAAGCUAAAUACACUACACGAAACCGAUAGUUCACAAGUACCGCGAGGGAACGUUGAAAAGCACUCUGAUAAGAGGGUGAAAAGCGUCUGAGACUGUAUAGCGUAAAUCGUAACAUUACACAUCAAACAUACACGGACAUGCAGGCAAGUAAAUUGCUAUCAUAUGUGCUGGUAUGAUACUGCCAACCCGAAAGGGUUCCUACCAAUCGGCAUCAUCACCUAUAACAUGAGUGAUAUAAUCGGCAAACGUACAAGAAGGAUAGUUGUUAGAUUCCGUCAGUCUUGACACGGUUGAAGGCUGUAUUGCAAGUGGCUAUGGUAUGCCGCAGCAGUAACAAUAUAGUAUGUGUUGGUUACGUCCCGUCUUGAAACACGGACCAAGGAAUUUGCCGCUUGUGCAAGUGAAUCGAUUGCAUAUCGAUAGCGUAAUGAAAGUAUUCGGCACGUACAGUGCCCGCCUUGCCAGUAAGUGUUGGACACAAGUAACGAGACACGGUGGUCAAGAGCGUGAGCAGAAGCGACAAGACCCGAAAGGUUGUGAUCUAUAUUUGACAUGGUAGAAGUCAAAGGAAACUUUGAUGGAAGACCUCCGAACGGUGCUGACGUGCAGAUCGCUUGUCAGAGUUGAAUAUAGGGGCGAAAGACUCAUCGAACAACCUAGUAGCUGGUUUCCUCCGAAAUAUCUCUCAGGAUAGCAAGAACUUACUAGUUUCAUCUGGUAAAGCAAAUGAUUAGCGGUCUUGGAGUUUAACGAUUUCAUCCGAUUCUCAAACUCUAAAUGGAUGAUGCAGAAAUGCAGUAUGGUAUUACUUCAACUUGUCUUGAAUGCCAUACGGAAAUAACACAAGUUCUUAGUGGGCAGGACUUGGUAAGCAGGUCAGGCGAUGUGGGAUGAACUGUUAGUCGGUGAGAAAGGUGUCACAAGUGAAUUUAAUCGAUACCACAAAAGGCGUAGGUUCAUUAAGACAGUUGGACGGUGGUCAUGGAAGUUGAAAACCGCUAAGGAGUGUGUAACAACUCACCAACCGAAUGAAGUUGCCCUGAAAAUGGACGAAGCUAAUAUUCACGAGCUUCUCUCACACCGUCAUUGUAGUAGAACGAAAUGACGAGUAGGAGGAUGUUUGUAUAGCGCAGAAACUCGGUUGUACCAUCUGAGUGGAGCUAUGCAAAGUGCAGAUCUUGGUGGUAGUAGCAAUUAUUCUAACGAGAUGGUUAAUAUAUUCUGUAUUAUGUCUAGCUUUGAAGACCGUGGUGGAGAAGGUUUCCCCGUCAAUGGCACUCACACGGGGGUUAGUCGGUCCUGAUUGAUUGGUUAACUCUGUAUAAAGACACCUAUAUGGUGCAAAUCUUGAAAGGGAAGUGGGUUUAUAUUCCUACACUUACGACUACAUACAUGUGAAAUUGGACUCGAAUAUGCGAGGUGAUGAGCAGUAAUAUAUUGGAGUUGUCUAUUCUAAUUAAAACGUCUGGUGCACUACGUAAUCCAGUUGAUGGGUUAUGGAGUUGCUGUUCUGGAAGGGCCCGGGUUUAUGCCCGAGUUUGAUUACCUGUCUUGUUGCAAGGAAAAAGCGUAUUCGAAGAGUAGUAGAGUAAACCGUACCAGAUACCGCAACAGGUCUCCAAAGUGAUCAGUUUCUGGUUCUGUAGAGUUUAAUGUAGGUAAGGGAAGUCGGCAAAACGGAUUUGUAUCCUAGGGAGAAAGGUUGGCUCUUUAGGUAAUAUACUGUGGUACAACCGAAGUGGUAGCCGUUAAGAGCAGGUAUAUCUGGAACUGUAAGUAGUUGAAAGGUGAAAGCGGAACUAGCGUGCAGGUUCGGGUGACCCAUUAGGAGGUAUAAGGCCAAAGGUGCGCUGAUGGUCAAUUGCGGUAUUAUAGUUAUCAUAUAAGAACUGAUGGAAUCCGGAGGAAUCUGACUGUUUAAUUAAAACCAAGCAAAGAGUAGACUUGAAAAAGGCACGCCCUCUUUGUGAUUUCUGCCCAGUGCCUGAAUGUUAAGGUGAAGAGAUUCGAACAAGCACGGGUUAACGGCGGGAGUAACUAUGACUCUCUUAAGGUAGCCAAAUGCCUCGUCAUUUAAUUUGUGACGCGCAUGAAUGGAUCAACGAGAUUCCUACUGUCCCUACUUACGUUCUAGCGAACCCACAGCCAAGGGAACGGGCUUGGGCAUUGACAGCGGGGAAAGA